UACAGAGGUCCCAAGCGUUGUUCGGAUUCAUUGGGCGUAAAGGGUGCGUAGGCGGCGCGGUAAGUCGGGUGUGAAAUCUCGGAGCUUAACUCCGAAACUGCAUUCGAUACUGCCGUGCUUGAGGACUGGAGAGGAGGCUGGAAUUUACGGUGUAGCGGUGAAAUGCGUAGAUAUCGUAAGGAAGACCAGUGGCGAAGGCGGGUCUCUGGACAGUUCCUGACGCUGAGGCACGAAGGCCAGGGGAGCAAACGGG
rnacentral:rRNA from 1 species